rnacentral:rRNA from 1 species
CUUGCUUCUCUUGAGAGCGGCGGACGGGUGAGUAAUGCCUAGGAAUCUGCCUGGUAGUGGGGGAUAACGUUCGGAAACGGACGCUAAUACCGCAUACGUCCUACGGGAGAAAGCAGGGGACCUUCGGGCCUUGCGCUAUCAGAUGAGCCUAGGUCGGAUUAGCUAGUUGGUGGGGUAAUGGCUCACCAAGGCGACGAUCCGUAACUGGUCUGAGAGGGUGAUCAGUCACACUGGAACUGAGACACGGUCCAGACUCCUACGGGAGGCAGCAGUGGGGAAUAUUGGACAAUGGGCGAAAGCCUGAUCCAGCCAUGCCGCGUGUGUGAAGAAGGUCUUCGGAUUGUAAAGCACUUUAAGUUGGGAGGAAGGGUUGUAGAUUAAUACUCUGCAAUUUUGACGUUACCGACAGAAUAAGCACCGGCUAACUCUGUGCCAGCAGCCGCGGUAAUACAGAGGGUGCAAGCGUUAAUCGGAAUUACUGGGCGUAAAGCGCGCGUAGGUGGUUUGUUAAGUUGGAUGUGAAAUCCCCGGGCUCAACCUGGGAACUGCAUUCAAAACUGACUGACUAGAGUAUGGUAGAGGGUGGUGGAAUUUCCUGUGUAGCGGUGAAAUGCGUAGAUAUAGGAAGGAACACCAGUGGCGAAGGCGACCACCUGGACUAAUACUGACACUGAGGUGCGAAAGCGUGGGGAGCAAACAGGAUUAGAUACCCUGGUAGUCCACGCCGUAAACGAUGUCAACUAGCCGUUGGGAGCCUUGAGCUUUUAGUGGCGCAGCUAACGCAUUAAGUUGACCGCCUGGGGAGUACGGCCGCAAGGUUAAACUCAAUGGAAUUGACGGGCCCGCACAAGC